AGUGAACGCUGGCGGUAGGCCUAACACAUGCAAGCCGAACGGCAGCACAGCAAGAGCUUGCUCUUACGGGUGGCGAGUGGCGGACGGGUGAGGAAUACAUCGGAAUCUACUUUUUCGUGGGGGAUAACGUAGGGAAACUUACGCUAAUACCGCAUACGACCUACGGGUGAAAGCAGGGGAUCUUCGGACCUUGCGCGAUUGAAUGAGCCGAUGUCGGAUUAGCUAGUUGGCGGGGUAAAGGCCCACCAAGGCGACGAUCCGUAGCUGGUCUGAGAGGAUGAUCAGCCACACUGGAACUGAGACACGGUCCAGACUCCUACGGGAGGCAGCAGUGGGGAAUAUUGGACAAUGGGCGCAAGCCUGAUCCAGCCAUACCGCGUGGGUGAAGAAGGCCUUCGGGUUGUAAAGCCCUUUUGUUGGGAAAGAAAAGCAGCAGGUUAAUACCCCGCUGUUCUGACGGUACCCAAAGAAUAAGCACCGGCUAACUUCGUG
rnacentral:rRNA from 1 species